UACGUAGGGUGCGAGCGUUGUCCGGAAUUAUUGGGCGUAAAGAGCUCGUAGGCGGUGUGUCACGUCGGCCGUGAAAACCUGCAGCUUAACUGUGGGCGUGCGGUCGAUACGGGCAUCACUGGAGUUCGGCAGGGGAGACUGGAAUUCCUGGUGUAGCGGUGGAAUGCGCAGAUAUCUGGAGGAAUACCGGUGGCGAAGGCGGCAUCCUGGACCGACAUUGACGCUGAUGAGCGAAAGCUAGGGGAGCAAACGGG
rnacentral:rRNA from 1 species